GGAUAUAGCUCAGUGGUAGAGUGCGUGCUUAGUAUGCACAAAGUCCUGGGUUCAAUCCCCAGUACAUCUA
rnacentral:tRNA from 1 species